rnacentral:lncRNA from 1 species
CUUAUACAUGCUUUCUGUCUGUAACAGAAAGUAAGUUCCCUGAGGGCAGAAACUGUCUAACUUUUGGAUCUGUGUCCCCAUUGUGCAAUUGAGUGCUUGACAGCUCUGAAAUGCUUUUUGAUUAAUUCAUUCGUUAUAUCUCUGACUGGUUAGAUAUGCAUGAUUAGUCAGCUUAUGUUUUUAGAAUCACACUGAGUAGCGGUUUCAGAACCCUUCUAGUCUAACCUAUACCUGAAUAAUAACUGCCUUUAAUAGCUAGCAUUUAUAUUGCAUCUACUAUGUGUGUGUGGUACUGUGCUAAUGUUUUUACAAAUAUCAUCGCAAUUGAUCUUCACAACAGCCCUGGAAGAGAACAGUACCUUUUUCCUUUUGGCGGAGAGGUGGCUGGUGGCAGCAUGCUGAGCAUCUUGGCAUCUUGGUGUGGCUGCAACUAUCAUCCCGGUUUGACUAUGAGCGUCCUUGAUACAAUACUGGGAGAAGCUUAGUAGCAUAGUUCAGGUAAGAACUUCCCUGAGCUCUCUGAGUUUAGAAAAAGAUUCCUUUUCUUUCCUAUACCUUUCCUAAAAAUGCCAUGAUAAGACAUGCACAUUUUAGUUAUUUUGUCAUACUUCUGGAGUGCUAAAAUUGCAUGAUGAACCAAAAUUGUUCACAUAUGAAUGGGGAAACUCCCACUACUUAUAUAAAAUAGCAACAGCUCUUAAACUUCUGGUCUACAAGAUAUCUAGGACUUUAAAACUGUGAUCCUGUGUACUCCAACAAUACUACUACUGGGUUUGUCUCCAUAAAAUAUUUUUAAAAAGGAGGUGGGGAGACCUGUUUGUGCAAAAAUAUUUUUAGAAACUGAGGAUUGUCCAUCAGUUGGGGAAUGGCUCAUUAAGUUUUGGCAUAUGAUGGUGAUGGAAUCCUGGUGGAUGAUUUAAGAAAGAGCUGGAAAGACCUACAUAAAAUGAUGUAAAGUGAAGUGAGUAGAACCAGAACAAUUUACAAUAUAAUCGACAUUUAUGACUUAGCUAUUCCUAGCAAGUUAUACAAUCAUCUCUUCAAAGAUUCAUGAUGAAAAAUGCCAUUCAUCUGAGAAAGAACUGAUGGAGACAAAACGUAGACCAAGAGAAAUAACAUUUUAUAUUCACUUUCCUUUCAUUUGUUCAGAGUUCUCUUUCACAAAAGAACUAACAUAAACACUGUUACACAAGCAAAAUUUGUUGUCUUGAGUUGAGGGAAGGCGAGGGUGAGGAUUUGGCUCAAACUUAAAAUGAAGGCUAAAAGGUCUUUUCACAUAACUUGAUUUAAAAAUGAAAUAUUAGCAAAAAAUUUUAAAAAUCUAGGUAAUAAAGUUUAAGUGGUCACAGUCCA